CUCAGACACGCUGCUAACAAGGAGCGACAACGGGAGCUACUGGACGCUGUUUUCAACCCUCAGCUUCGGUUCCACAGAGCAGGUUUGGUCAUUAAACCUUCAGUUGAUCUUUCUCUCCUUCCUGUCAUCUGUUCUCUCAGCAACCAUAUGACGAUAGGACGUAUGUAAAUAAGCAUUUGUACAUAGAUUUAUUGUAAUCUUCGCUCUUUAACAGGCCUUCGCCAAACCCACCAGACUCCAUGUAAAUAAUCAGUACUUUUAUCAUCGUAAAACACACUGCAUUCAAAGUGGACAGAAACACAAUAAAACU